GACGAACGCUGGCGGCGUGCUUAACACAUGCAAGUCGAACGGUAAGGCCCUUCGGGGUACACGAGUGGCGAACGGGUGAGUAACACGUGGGUGAUCUGCCCUGCACUUCGGGAUAAGCCUGGGAAACUGGGUCUAAUACCGGAUAGGACUCCUGGCUUCAUGGUUGGGGGUGGAAAGCUUUUGCGGUGUGGGAUGGGCCCGCGGCCUAUCAGCUUGUUGGUGGGGUAAUGGCCUACCAAGGCGACGACGGGUAGCCGGCCUGAGAGGGUGACCUGUCACACUGGGACUGAGAUACGGCCCAGACUCCUACGGGAGGCAGCAGUGGGGAAUAUUGCACAAUGGGCGCAAGCCUGAUGCAGCGACGCCGCGUGAGGGAUGACGGCCUUCGGGUUGUAAACCUCUUUCAGCUAUGACGAAGCGCAAGUGACGGUAGUAGCAGAAGAAGGACCGGCCAACUACGUGACAGCCGCCGCAGUAA
rnacentral:rRNA from 1 species